rnacentral:rRNA from 1 species
AUUACCUCAGUAACGGCGAGUGAAGCGGUAAAAGCUCAAAUUUGAAAUCUGGCUCUUUUAGAGUCCGGAAUUGUAAUUUUGUAGAAGAAUUGCUUCGGGUGUGGUUCCGGUCUAAGUUCCUUGGAACAGGACGUUCAUAGAGGGGUGAGAAUCCCGUAUGUGACUGGAUACCUAUGCUCAUGUGAAGCUCUUUCGACGAGUCGAGUUGUUUGGGAAUGCAGCUCAAAAUGGGAGGUAUAUUUCUUCUAAAGCUAAAUAUUGGCCAGAGACCGAUAGCGCACAAGUAGAGUGAUCGAAAGAUGAAAAGCACUUUGGAAAGAGAGUUAAACAGUACGUGAAAUUGUUGAAAGGGAAGCGCUUGCAAUCAGACUUGCACUUGGUGUUCAUCAGGGUCUCGUACCCUGUGUACUUCAUCAAGUUCAGGCCAGCAUCAGUUUGAGUGGUUAGAUAAAGGCUUAGAGAAUGUGGCCCUCUUCGGGGGGUGUUAUAGCUCUAGGUGCAAUGUAGCCUACUUGGACUGAGGACCGCGCUUCGGCUAGGAUGCUGGCGUAAUGGUUGUAAGCGACCCGUCUUGAAACACGGACCAAGGAGUGUACCUAAUAUGCGAGUGUUUGGGUGUUAAACCCAUACGCGUAAUGAAAGUGAACGCUGGUGAGAACCCUUAAGGGUGCAUCAUCGACCGAUCUUGAUGUCUUCGGAUGGAUUUGAGUAAGAGCAUAUUGGGUGCGACCCGAAAGAUGGUGAUCUAUACGUGGAAUAGGGUGAAGCCAGAGGAAACUCUGGUGGAGGCUCGCAGCGGUUCUGACGUGCAAAUCGAUCGUCAAAUUUGCGUAUAGGGGCGAAAGACUAAUCGAACCAUUAAGGAAUAGACCAAGCUCUAGGUGGUUGAGAAACCCCCCUUGGGGUAUUAGUCCUGGAGACAGGGCGACAUUGUCAAAUUGUUCGGGGGACCACCCUGUUAAAUUACAUACUACCGCAGCAGUGCUGAAAGGCCUGUGAGCACUAGAGGUAACGCCUCUAGGGAUGGUAAUAACGUAUGUUAUAGGGUAUUAUCCGCAGCGAAGUUCCUAAGGCCUCACGGCUAUGAAUCGCGUUCACAGACUAGACGGCAAUGGGCUCCUAACGGGGCUUAAGAUAUAGUCGAACCCCUCAGAGAUGAGGAUGA